rnacentral:rRNA from 1 species
AUUGAACGCUGGCGGCGUGCUUAACACAUGCAAGUCGAACGGCAGCACAGAGAAGCUUGCUUCUUGGGUGGCGAGUGGCGAACGGGUGAGUAACAUAUCGGAACGUACCUUUGACUCUGGGAUAACUAAUCGAAAGAUUAGCUAAUACCGGAUACGACCAAUCUCCGCAUGGGGUGUUGGUGGAAAGCGUUAUGGAGUGGUUAUUCGAGCGGCUCACGGCCUAUCAGCUUGUUGGUGAGGUAAUGGCCUACCAAGGCGACGACGGGUAGCGGGUCUGAGAGGAUGAUCCGCCACACUGGGACUGAGACACGGCCCAGACUCCUACGGGAGGCAGCAGUGGGGAAUUUUGGACAAUGGGCGCAAGCCUGAUCCAGCCAUGCCGCGUGUCUGAAGAAGGCCUUCGGGUUGUAAAGGACUUUUGUCAGGGAAGAAAAGGCUGUUGCUAAUACCGACAGCUGAUGACGGUACCUGAAGAAUAAGCACCGGCUAACUACGUGCCAGCAGCCGCGGUAAUACGUAGGGCGCGAGCGUUAAUCGGAAUUAUUGGGCGUAAAGCGAGCGCAGACGGUUGGUCGCGUCUGCUGUGAAAGGCUGGGGCUUAACCCUGGUUUUGCAGUGGGUACGGGCUAACUAGAGUGUGUCAGAAGGAGGUAGAUUCCACGUGUUACAGUGAAAUGCGUAUAGAUGUGGAGGAAUACCGAAUGGCGAAGCACCCUCCUGGGGUAACACUGACGUUCAUGCUCGAAAGCGUGGGUAGCCAACAGGAUUACAUACCCUGGUAGUCCCCUCCCUAAACCAUGUCGCUUUACUGGUGGGCGACUUUCUUGCUUUUCCGCGCCGCUACUGCCUGAUUAUUGACCCCCCUGGGGAGUACUACUCCCGCGAUUGCUACUCUCAGGAAUUUUCGGGGACCCCCACAACCGCUGGAUGAUGUGCAUUAUUUCUCUGCGCCGCGCAAAAACUCUUCUGGUCUUGAGAUGUACACUGUCCUGCAUAGAAGAAGGAGUGUCUCCUCGGAACCCUAAACCGAGGGCUGGCUGGCUGUCCUCCACUCCUGGCCUGGAAUUUUUGGUUUAAUUCCCCCACCAACGCCACCCUUCUCUUUAUGUGCCCUCCUUAUGUUGGGCACUCUUCUGAGACUGCUGCUGACAUUCCCUAGGAAGGUGGUGAUGACGACAACUCCUCAUCGUGCUUCUUAUCACUUGUUCUCUCCUCAUGCUAUGGUCGGCACAAAAGAUAGCCGCGCUGCUGUGAGGAGCCGCUCUCCCCUAACCGAUCGUACUCCUUAUUACUCUCUACUGCUCGACUGCCUGAUGACGGA